rnacentral:rRNA from 1 species
UGCAUAAUGGUGAUAUUAAAAUCCAAUUUAUUAGUAAACUUCCCGAAAAUAAGAAGAUCUACUUAAAUAUUACCUUUGUUAGAAUUAAAUAUUAUUGUUGCAAAAAUAAAAUAAAAAUAAUAAGUAGUAGUGAAACGCAUAUCAUUUUUAUUGAUAACUGGAUUAAAAGAAAAUAUAUUAAGUAUAAAAGACAAUUUUAAAGCGAUAAGGUUUUAAAAAAAAUGAAUGAAAUAUAAAUUUAGAUAUAUUAUUUAGUAAAACUAUACAAUAUCAUAAUUAAAUUCAAAAUUAAACUGUGAAUACAUCAAAAUUCAACCUUUUAUUUGCUUUGUAAUUAAACUCCACACAUUAAUAAUGUAUCAAUUAGUAGAAAUUAUAAAUAUAAAUAAGGAACUCGACAAAUAUAUUGUACGACUGUUUAUCAAAAACAUAACCAUAAGAACAUUUUUAUGGUGCCGUCCGCCCAGUGAUAAUUUUAACGGCCGCAGUACUUUGACUGUGCUAAGGUAGCAUAAUAACUUGGCUUUUAAUUGGAGUCUGGAAUGAGAGAAAAAACGUAUAGAUAUUGUCUCAAACUGUAUUGUUUCUAAGUUAGUUAAGAAGUGAAAAUACUUCUGUGUUUUAAUAAAAGACGAGAAGACCCUUAGAAUUUUUACUAAUUAUGUAAGUCAUUUAUAUUCUAUGUUUUAGUUGGGGCAACUCUAUUUCAUAUAAUAAAUAGUAAUGUGAGUUAUUUAGACCGAUUUAAAUAAAUAAAAGCAAAUUACCUAAGGGAUAACAGCAUAAUUUUAUUAAUUAAGAUUGUGACCUCGAUGUUGGACUAGGUAAUGUUAAAGCUAAACGUUUUACCAUAUAGGUUCUGUUCGAACUUUCGUACCUACAUGAUCUGAGUUCAGACCGGCGUAAGCCAGGUCAGUUUCUAUCUUUAAUAUUGUAUAAGAUAGUACGAAGGGGACCGUAGAA